GUUUAUUUAUUUCAAUCUGGUAAAAUGGGUUGGGUUGGUUGUGCAAGUCACACAUUGUAUAUCUUACUUGAAGUUUCUCAGGUGCUGCUGCUUUAUUCUUCUAGUGUGUAUGUACUCACUUUCAGAGGAUCUAUAUAAAUGAUAUUCUUUUUCCUUGUAUCCAAAAUCUGCAAUGAAAACCCUAAUUUCUUAAAGUUCCUUAGCCAGAGUUUACAUUACAUUAUUUUACAAGUUUUUAUAUCACAGGCAAUUUCUAAUUGAUUUGUG
rnacentral:lncRNA from 1 species